rnacentral:rRNA from 1 species
AGAGUUUGAUCAUGGCUCAGAUUGAACGCUGGCGGCAUGCUUUACACAUGCAAGUCGAACGGCAGCACAGGGAGCUUGCUCCCGGGUGGCGAGUGGCGCACGGGUGAGUAAUACAUCGGAACGUGUCCUGUUGUGGGGAUAACUGCUCGAAAGGGUGGCUAAUACCGCAUGAGACCUGAGGGUGAAAGCGGGGGAUCGCAAGACCUCGCGCAAUUGGAGCGGCCGAUGCCCGAUUAGCUAGUUGGUGAGGUAAGGCUCACAAGGCGACGAUCGGUAGCUGGUCUGAGAGGACGACCAGCCACACUGGGACUGGAGACGACGGCCCAGACCUCCGUACGGGAGGCCA